rnacentral:rRNA from 1 species
UGGAGAUUUGAUCCUGGCUCAGAUGAACGCUGGCGGCAGGCCUAACACAUGCAAGUCGAGCGGAAACGAGUUAUCUGAACCUUCGGGGGACGAUAAGGCGUCGAGCGGCGGACGGGUGAGUAAUGCCUAGGAAAUUGCCCUGAUGUGGGGGAUAACCAUUGGAAACGAUGGCUAAUACCGCAUGAUGCCUACGGGCCAAAGAGGGGGACCUUCGGGCCUCUCGCGUCAGGAUAUGCCUAGGUGGGAUUAGCUAGUUGGUGAGGUAAGGGCUCACCAAGGCGACGAUCCCUAGCUGGUCUGAGAGGAUGAUCAGCCACACUGGAACUGAGACACGGUCCAGACUCCUACGGGAGGCAGCAGUGGGGAAUAUUGCACAAUGGGCGCAAGCCUGAUGCAGCCAUGCCGCGUGUGUGAGAGGCCUUCGGGUUGUAAAGCACUUUCAUCGUGAGAGGUGAUGUUGUUAUACUGCAUUAUGUCGUUGAGUCGAGAAACAGGGCCACCACCG